rnacentral:rRNA from 1 species
CAUGUAGGCGGUCUGUCAAGUCUGAUGUGAAAGCCCGGGGCUCAACCCCGGAAGUGCAUUGGAAACUGGCAGACUUGAGUACGGGAGAGGAAAGUGGAAUUUCGAGUGUAGGGGUGAAAUCCGUAGAUAUUCGAAGGAACACCAGUGGCGAAGGCGGCUUUCUGGACCGAUACUGGCGCUGAGAUGCGAAAGCGUGGGGAGCAAACAGGAUUAGAUACCCUGGUAGUCC